AGCAUCAGGAACAAGAAAGAGGGCAACGGGUAACGAUUCUACAACGAAACACACAACCGUGGCACAGAUGUGGCCCACCACUAUCUGCCUACAUCAAACAAAUCUGCCGUACUCCGAUAGCCAUAUCGGAGUACGACAGCAUUUUGAUGGCCCAUGAAAAACACAUAAGAGCCCCGACCCUCGCCCCCAUCUUACCUCCAUUCCCGGCUGGACGUUGGCCCCAUCUUCCGAGGCCUGCUGCACGUGCAGCACAUGGAUGGGAACAUGACAAUUAGGGCAGGCACGUCAAUGGCGGAGGCGAAACAUACACGCCCCCCUCCCCCAACCAGCCCCAGCCACCCUCCAUAGCAUCAGGAACAAGAAAGAGGGCAACAGGUAACGAUUCCACAACGAAACACACAACCGUGGCACAGAUGUGGCCCACCACUACCUGCCUACAUCAAACAAAUCUGCCGUACUCCGAUAGCCAUAUCAGAGUACGACAGCGUUUUGAUGCCCCACGUAAAACACAUAAGAGCCCCGACCCUCGCCCCCAUCUUACCUCCAUUCCCGGCUGGACGUCGGCCCCAUCUUCCGAGGCCUGCUGCACGUGCAGCACAUGGAUGGGAACAUGACAAUUAGCAUCAGGAACAAGAAAGAGGGCAACGGGUAACGAUUCCACAACGAAACACACAAACGUGGCACAGAUGUGGCCCACCACUACCUGCCUACAUCAAACAAAUCUGCCGUACUCCGAUAGCCAUAUCGUAGUACGACAGCGUCUUGAUGCCCCACGUAAAACACAUAAGAGCCCCGACCCUCGCCCCCAUCUUACCUCCAUUCCCGGUUGGACGUUGGCCCCAUCUUCCGAGGCCUGCUGCACGUGCAGCACAUGGAUGGGAACAUGACAAUUAGGGCAGGC
rnacentral:lncRNA from 1 species